CCAGCAGCCGCGGUAAUACGGAGGGUGCAAGCGUUAAUCGGAAUUACUGGGCGUAAAGCGUGCGUAGGCGGUUCGUUAAGUCAGAUGUGAAAGCCCUGGGCUCAACCUGGGAACUGCAUUUGAAACUGGCGGACUAGAGUUUAGUAGAGGGGAGUGGAAUUUCAGGUGUAGCGGUGAAAUGCGUAGAUAUCUGAAGGAACACCAGUGGCGAAGGCGACUCCCUGGACUAAAACUGACGCUGAGGUACGAAAGCGUGGGUAGCAAACAGGAUUAGAUACCCUGGUAGUCCACGCCGUAAACGAUGUCAACUAGCCGUUGGUCCUCUUAACAGGAUUAGUGGCGCAGCUAACGCAUUAAGUUGACCGCCUGGGGAGUACGGCCGCAAGGUUAAAACUUAAAGGAAUUGGCGGGGGA
rnacentral:rRNA from 1 species